AACAGAUGUGCAGUGAUAGCGCUGUCUGAGGGAGCGAGGCUAUCUGCAGAGGCCAGCUUGCCGUCUCAGUGUGGCGCUCCACUUCCUGUUGGGCUGAUGUAUGGCGGAGGCCUGAUAAGGAGGCCAGACCACUAUAUUAUGCUGAUCAUUAUUGUCUAGUGGUCCCCCCCCCCGUCCCCCCCAACAUCUUUGAUUCACGGGGCUCCUGUUGUACUUGGAGAGAUUAAUGUAUUGUAUGCCCAAAGGAAGGAAGGUAUUCGAGAACCGUUAUUGAGUUCUUUGUGGGUCCCUCUUUGAUCAUACGACGUAGCAGGUGAUUCCCUCUUUGGUGUCGUUGUUAAUCCUACUUAAUACCUUAAGUACCGACGAUGAACGCACAAUCCAUUCGUUCCUCGUCUGUAAACCAGCUCUUUGCAUGCAUCAUUGUUCUGUCGGCAGCCUCUUCGUCUUGUAUAUAAAGUUUUCUGCAGAGUUUGACCCUCUCAUCAACCAUGAUAAGAGUCCUGCUAAUGCACCAGGAAGGGACACAGGAAGUAGAAGGAGGAGGUCAGAGUGUACUUCCUGGCGUGGCCUUACACCCGGGGAGCGAAUGCAAUUUUCUCGGUGUGUGCCACAUCUCUGUGUUUACCUCCGUGGAGUGACAGCUCUCUGACCCCCCCCCCCCCAUCCCGUCUCAAACCCCUCUUUUGUUUCAGCCCCUGUCCGGAGCAAGGGAUGGGUGAUGAAUUUAACCUCAUGGAUCACUCAGACCUGUACAUCCUGGACUUCAGCCCUAAUCUGAAGACAUUAUGCAAGAUGGCAGUAAUUCACUACAGUCUGGAGCAGUCGGGGCUCCCACAUGACAUCAGAUGGGAGCUGGCUGCCAUGACAACCAACAGCAACAUCAGCAGGCCAAUCUUCUCCUCUCAUGGCUGAGAGCAGCCAUCACGGAGCAGACCCCAGACUGCCUUCUGCCCUCCGGGACCCGGGGACACCUUAACAAUCCACCGGGACCCGGGGACACCUUAACAAUCCACCGGGGCUCUAGCGGAGGACUUCUGUCGUCGGUAUUACUCAACUCUUUGGUUCGAGACUGGAGUUAUUUUCCACAUUGGAUUUUCGUCUCUGCAAACUAUUUUUUUCUUCUUGUUUUUACUUUUUCUACACAAACAAACAAGACGAGCUCAAGGAUGAAAAAAAUAAAACGGAUAAAAGUAUCCUUGUUUUGGAAGAAUUAGAAACACAUCUGCUAAAAAAAUGAUUUUUCUAAGAGUUGCUCACUCAAGGGUACUUUUGAGAACUCGGUUCGAACCACCUCCUCCCCCAUCUCCUCCGGUCUCUGUAGAGAUCCAAUCAAGCCUAUGAUAAUCCUGGACUCCUCCACAAGCACAUGAAGAAGAAAGUCCACCCUAAAGGUCUUCUGUACUAACCUCUCAUCUCUGCAGAGGGGGGGGGGGGGGGGUGGCGGUGUUCAAAAUGCCACCGCAACGUUCUUUAGAUUUUUUUUCUUUUCAUAGGAGGAACAAAUGUGAGGCAGGCGCCUCACUCAUUAACUGAAUGUCGAAAGGUGGAUUUGGAGUCCAUCGUUCCGAUCUCACUGUCUUACAUUGUUCACUUGAAACACCUUAAAGGAAUCGCGUCUAACCCAGGCAGCGUACCAUCUGACUGAAUAUGAAACGCGCCGGUCUGGAAAAUCAGCCUCCGUGAUAAAAUUCAGAAACUAAAUUGCACCGCGGUAAGGCAGCAGGAGAGAUGGUAGAACCGUCCACCGGGCUUCCUUCCUUCCUUCUUGUUCCUAGCAAAGACAGAUCUCAAACUGCCAGGCUUGUGCAUGGCAAGGGUAUACUUUCACGAGAUGGGCUGCUUUGUAAUCAAUCAAACCCGUCUACCUCCCUCGGCGGCACGCAGAAAACAGAAUCAUUUGUUGUGCUUGAGAGCGUUCAGCCGUGGUCUAUUCCAAGUAUUCUUUCGGGGCCUCCAGGUGCUGCCAGAUUAACGGCCCAAUGGGGUACACCCUUACUCCAACAUCUUUGUUUUCUUGUGCCAACCGAGAGGGGGGGGGGGGGGGGGGGGAGAGAGAGGGAGGGAGGGAGGGAGGGAGGGAGUGCGUGUGUGUGCGCAACUAUAUACAGUCAGUGAAUGCCGACUCGCACUAUCGUUAUAUCUCCACAUGCUCAUGCCAAGCCAAGAUCAGGGACGUCCGCUUGUGUUGUUGAUUUCGCGUCCUUUUUUUAUUUUUUUCUGUGUUUUCGCUGCCAAUGCUUGCUGGUACCAGCCCCUCCUGGUCUAGUUAGCCUGUCCCUGCACGUGCAGAUCAUCCUGCAUAACGUAAUAUCCUCCCCACUACUAAAGACAAUCCUAGUGAGUCGAACCAUAGUCCUAGUGAGUCGAACCAAACCCCUCGUGACCCGCAGCGCGACCCAAACCAGAACACGGUUCAGCUCUUUCACGUAAAGCCUGGAGAGGUACACAGGCUUUUAUUCAGGUUUUCAUACUCGUUCAGGUUAGUUUUCAUGUUAAUUGAGCCAUUGAGAAGAUCCUUCUCAUCUUGCCUGUUAUUUAAUUACACCUUUUGUGUUCCAAGAAGUCUGAUUGUUAGAAACGCUAGCCAAUGUCACUGCAAAGUAUGACGUCCAGCCCGGAUCGAAAAGCAAUUCAAGUCACUAAUCGGGCGAAUGAGUACCGCCAUAACGUUGUGCUUGUGUCCGUGUGCGUCUGUCUGCGUUAACCAUUCUGUCUCUCCCAAGCAAUGCCGCUGUCGUGUGAUCUAAACGGUCGUGGACGGUCACCAAUAGACACAGGCUUGGUCGGCCCCGCGUGGGAAAAGGAUUACAAAUGCUGCUGGUUAUUUUUUGCCAACGAAGAUACCGGGGCGCAAGUGCUGGAUUCGUCCAUGGAGCAAUGUCGAGACGAUCGAGGAACGUUUUUUUUUGUUAUUUACAGACCAGCAGUGCCAAUGUGACUCAGAGGGUCUCGAUCCCCACAGUCCUGCGUCACAGGGACCCGUCGCGUGUGACGUGCACCGUGCAGCUACGUGGAUGCCUGUCAGACGUUGAUUCUUCUCGUGGACAAACCCAAGUCUAGCCGUUGAUGUGACACUGAAUGACGAUGGGCAUAACAGAACAAAAAUAUUCUAUUAGAGGACUGUUCUUGUCAUAUUUGGUGCAGACGGUUUGAAUGUGUUUAAGGGGUUGUGGUUGUUGGUUACAGGCAAAUACACAUCAGGAAUACGGAAAGGAAAUAAUGGGGCCUUAACUCCAAGAAAUAAAUGUUAACGCCAAUUAGGAUUUAAGUGCUCUAGGUAAUCCCUUGAUCCUCUGAUGGGUUGUAGAUAUUUCAGAUCAAUAGAUUUCAGAUCUAUGGGCUUAAUUAACAUUAACUAGCCUAAUUUACUCACCUAUUGCAAUGUCAGUGAAUGGUCAAAGCAGGCUGGAGUCUGAUGUUUUAACUACCACCUGGGGACCACUCAUGCUUCGCCAGUUGGCCCAGUAUAUUGCCUGGGCCUCGCAUCACCUAAAUAAAUUAAAUAUUGCUAAAUGUGCUCAUGGCAAAUUGGUUUUACAAGGAAUCUCUUUCCAGGCGAGAUUCCUUUCAUCAAGAUCACAUGCCACGGUGUGCUCACUCAUACAGGACUGUCCCCUAACACUGGUUCACUGGGGAGAUAUGCCGUUCCUUGGUUUGAAGCCUACUAAUUAGGACGCGUACAGGCCAACAACGCAAACCACAGGAUUGUUAAAAGAAUCGCAUCAAAAAAAGUAUUGAGAAUAUUGGCAAUCAGGUGCGGUCGUUACAGUCCUGCAAGCUUUCUUUUUACACUAACGAAGGAAUUCUGCCAAGGUAAAACCCUGUGCAAUAUGCUGUAAAGUAAUAUAAAUAAUAAAGCUCAACUCUGAUUUGCUUA